UCCGACAUGGUGUAGUGGUUAAUGUUAUCGCCUAUUAUACGACUCGUAACUGAGUACCUGGCGCGCGCGAUAGCCCGGGUUCGAUUUCCCGUAUCAAAA